AAUCAUUUUGUACACCAUCAAGAU
rnacentral:siRNA from 1 species